rnacentral:rRNA from 1 species
UACGUAGGGGGCGAGCGUUGUCCGGAAUCAUUGGGCGUAAAGCGCGUGUAGGCGGCCCGGUAAGUCCGCUGUGAAAGUCCAGGGCUCAGCCCUGGGAUGCCGGUGGAUACUGUCGGGCUCGAGUCCGGAAGAGGCGAGUGGAAUUCCUGGUGUAGCGGUGAAAUGCGCAGAUAUCAGGAGGAACACCAGCGGCGAAGGCGGCGCUCUGGGCCGGAACUGACGCUGAGGAGCGAAAGCGUGGGUAGCAAACAGG